UAUCUACAGGCUUAACACAUGCAAGUCGAGGGGCAGCAUGGUCUUAGCUUGCUAAGGCCGAUGGCGACCGGCGCACGGGUGAGUAACGCGUAUCCAGCCUGCCUUACACUCUUGGACAGCCUUCUGAAAGGGAGAUUAAUACAAGAUGUUAUCAUGAGUAAGCAUUUUCGCAUGAUUAAAGGUUUACCGGUGUAAGAUGGGGAUGCGUUCCAUUAGAUAGUAGGCGGGGUAACGGCCCACCUAGUCUUCGAUGGAUAGGGGUUCUGAGAGGAAGGUCCCCCACAUUGGAACUGAGACACGGUCCAAACUCCUACGGGAGGCAGCAGUGAGGAAUAUUGGUCAAUGGACGAGAGUCUGAACCAGCCAAGUAGCGUGAAGGAUGAAGGUUCUAUGGAUUGUAAACUUCUUUUAUACGGGAAUAAACGGAUCCACGUGUGGAUUUUUGCAUGUACCGUAUGAAUAAGGAUCGGCUAACUCCGUGCCAGCAGCCGCGGUAAUACGGAGGAUCCGAGCGUUAUCCGGAUUUAUUGGGUUUAAAGGGAGCGUAGAUGGGUUGUUAAGUCAGUUGUGAAAGUUUGCGGCUCAACCGUAAAAUUGCAAUUGAUACUGGCAGUCUUGAGUACAGUUGAGGUAGGCGGAAUUCGUGGUGUAGCGGUGAAAUGCUUAGAUAUCACGAAGAACUCCGAUUGCGAAGGCAGCUUACUAACCUGUAACUGACAUUGAUGCUCGAAAGUGUGGGUAUCAAACAGGAUUAGAUGCCCUGGUAGUCCACACGGUAAACGAUGAAUACUCGCUGUAGGCGAUAUACAGUCUGCGGCCAAGCGAAAGCAUUAAGUAUUCCACCUGGGGAGUACGCCGGCAACGGUGAAACUCAAAGGAAUUGACGGGGGCCCGCACAAGCGGAGGAACAUGUGGUUUAAUUCGAUGAUACGCGAGGAACCUUACCCGGGCUUAAAUUGCAACCGAAUAUGGCGGAAACGCUAUAGCUAGCAAUAGCGGUUGUGAAGGUGCUGCAUGGUUGUCGUCAGCUCGUGCCGUGAGGUGUCGGCUUAAGUGCCAUAACGAGCGCAACCCUUGCCGAUAGUUACUAACAGGUCAUGCUGAGGACUCUGUCGGGACUGCCAUCGUAAGAUGUGAGGAAGGUGGGGAUGACGUCAAAUCAGCACGGCCCUUACGUCCGGGGCUACACACGUGUUACAAUGGGGGGUACAGAGGGCUGCUACCACGCAAGUGGAUGCCAAUCCCAAAAACCUCUCUCAGUUCGGAUUGAAGUCUGCAACCCGACUUCAUGAAGCCGGAUUCGCUAGUAAUCGCGCAUCAGCCACGGCGCGGUGAAUACGUUCCCGGGCCUUGUACACACCGCCCGUCAAGCCAUGGGAGCCGGGGGUACCUGAAGUGCGUAACCGCAAGGAGCGCCCUAGGGUAAAACUGGUGACUGGGG
rnacentral:rRNA from 1 species